rnacentral:rRNA from 1 species
GACGAACGCUGGCGGCGUGCCUAAUACAUGCAAGUAGAACGCUGAAGGAGGAGCUUGCUUCUCUGGAUGAGUUGCGAACGGGUGAGUAACGCGUAGGUAACCUGCCUGGUAGCGGGGGAUAACUAUUGGAAACGAUAGCUAAUACCGCAUAAGAGUAGAUGUUGCAUGACAUUUGCUUAAAAGGUGCAAUUGCAUCACUACCAGAUGGACCUGCGUUGUAUUAGCUAGUUGGUGGGGUAACGGCUCACCAAGGCGACGAUACAUAGCCGACCUGAGAGGGUGAUCGGCCACACUGGGACUGAGACACGGCCCAGACUCCUACGGGAGGCAGCAGUAGGGAAUCUUCGGGAAUGGACGGAAGUCUGACCGAGCAACGCCGCGUGAGGGAAGAAGGUUGUCGGAUCGUAAAGCUCUGUUGUAAGAGAAGAACGAGUGUGAGAGUGGAAAGUUCACACUGUGACGGUAUCUUACCAGAAAGGGACGGCUAACUACGUG